GGGGCAUGGGGAGAGCGCCUGGUGCAAACCGCGCCGGGCACCGCUCUUCAUUAAGUGAUCGCUGCUAUCAAACACGCUCUGGAUGUCUUGAAGGGGAGGGGGGGCGGGGAGAGGCGGAGGGAAGAGGGGGAAAUCCCUUUUAGUUUUGCGAUUAGGCUGCCAGGCUUUGUAAAGGGCUUAAAAACAAAGUCUUGCUCAGUCUUUUGUAGGAGAGAUCCAGAUGUUAUGUAGAUUUCUGUUUGCGUGUUCGUUUUGAGCGGAUCCGGCGGUGAGCGCAGUAUUUACGUGUGUGUGUUGCUGGACUUUACCGUUUAUCGACGUUGCGCUUGUGGAAUGUAUGCUGGAGUAUUAGCUCGAGGAUCUCCUCCAAGAUUAAAGCUAGUCCUAAGAGCAACCGAAUUGCUGUGACUGACUUUCACGGGACUGUAAAGAGAGAUCGGCUCAAAAGUCCAAAGAGAAAUGAGGUGUCCGGUAUGGAAGUGCAUCUCAGUCAACCGCCAGCUCCUUUUGCCGAGGCUGGAAAUGGUUUUAACAGGCGCCUUGCAAAAGCGGAUGGCACAACAGCUGCCUGUAAAACUCCAGAAGAGGAGCGCUCUCAUUUUUACACUGGAGUUCUCGGUCCGGAGAGAACAAUAUACUCCUACCUCUUUUGAAAUGAUCCGGAGACUCUCACAACACACAGGCAAUCACUCGAAGCACGAAUUUCCUUUUUUUUUUUUUUUUUUUUUUUUCCAAGAACUGCUCGGCCCAUUGUUUGAAGUGGGAUUCAGUGCAGAGCCCAAAGAGAAAAGGAAAAAAAAAAAUCCUGAGAGCCCGGCUUGGUAUUGCACAGAGAGAGAGCUGACAAAAUAUUAUAGCGUGUUUCCUAGAAGUACAUGGUGAGAGCCGGCGGUGUGUUCCCGAAAAGAGGUUGCUUUUUAUUCCCACCACCACCCCCCUCAAGAUUGUGAUCGUCUUUGUAUGUCUUUCUUUUGAUCCCACAAAGAGAAUGCAAUACACAUAUAUGUGUUUGCUCUCCAUACAAGAAAUGCCAUACAAUGGAAUAUGUGGCCGGUUAGUCCUCAUAAUGCUUAGUUUUGCUGUAAUUAAUUGAAAACAGUUAUUAGGUCGUCAUUGGCAAUAGCGUAAAUAAUUGCAGCAGAUUUUUACUUAAAAUUGACCGGUCAUAGAGUGAUAGAUCGAUUCGAGGUAUAAAAAUGAUGUAUCAAAACAUCAAUGUCGAUUAUUUGAAAUAUUGUAGUCGAAUCUUUUUAUUGCUUCAUCGGUUAAGUGUCUGAAAGUGCUGUGUUCCAACAUAUAUUUAUGUUGUCAAUACUGUCAAAACUGUCAGUUUUAUUACAGUGGAUUUGUAAUACAUUUCGGAUUUGCUCAUUUACAUAAAAUGUCCACCUCAGAUACCCCUCCUUUUCUCCAUCUCUGGAAAUCUGUGUCAGUUUAAUGAAAGGAUUCAAGACUCAUACCUGAAGAGGGGAAAAAAAAGAAAAAGGAAAGGAGAAAAAAAAAAAAAAAGGAGGUGUUGCUCCAUUAUGUCCAAUUUUAACAUCCGUUUGGAAAGCUUGGGCUAUUUCUGACUCGCCAAAAGAGGGAAUUCCUCCCCCCUUCCCCCUCCCUCCCCCGGCCCCGCUUAUUUUCCUAGUAGAAUUUAAACACUUUCCUACUCUCACACCUAGAUUAAACCCUCCAGGAGAAUUGGGAAAUUGUACAGGGUUACAGCAAGGAGCCGAAGCACACCUGUGAAUGCCACAACCUUCCCAAAGAGAGCAACAAUCCCCCGAACCAUGCACGCACGCACAGGGGUUUGAAUCCUGCUAGAAAGAAGGAGACAAAAGGAGCAAUAAAUACGUGUGUGAUCCCUUCCUAACGGUUUGG
rnacentral:lncRNA from 1 species